rnacentral:rRNA from 1 species
UGUCUAGCUUGCUAGACUGAUUAGUGGCGCACGGGUGAGUAAUGCAUAGGUAACGUACCCCUUAGUCUAGGAUAGCCACUGGAAACGGUGAUUAAUACUGGAUACUCCUUCUAGCUUAAUGUUAGUUGGGAAAGUUUUUCGCUAAGGGAUCGGCCUAUGUUGUAUCAGGUAGUUGGUGAGGUAAUGGCUCACCAAGCCUAUGACACAUAGCGGGUCUGAGAGGAUGAUCCGCCACACUGGUACUGAGACACGGACCAGACUCC